rnacentral:rRNA from 1 species
AACGAACGCUGGCGGCAUGCCUAACACAUGCAAGUCGAACGAGACCUUCGGGUCUAGUGUCGCACGGGUGCGUAACGCGUGGUAACCUUCCCUUAGGUUCGGAAUAACUCCCCGAAAGGGGUUCUAAUACCGGAUAAUGUCUUCGGACCAAAGAUUUAUCGCCUUUGGAUGGUCCCGCGUUGUAUUAGCUAGUUGUUAUGGUAAAAGCCUACCAAGGCGACGAUGCAUAGCUGGUCUGAGAGGAUGAUAAGCCACACUGGGACUGAGACACGGCCCAGACUCCUACGGGAGGGAGGAGAGGGGAAUAUAGGAAAAUGGGAGAAAGCAUGAAAGAGCAAUGACGCGAGAGUGAUGAAGGCAUUAGGGUAGUAAAGCUCUAUUACACGGGAUGAGAAUGACAGUACCGGGAGAAUAAGCAACGGCUAACUACGUG